rnacentral:rRNA from 1 species
AGUAUUAGGUAAUCUUGGAACCUAAAAUUUUUGGCGGUCUUUGGGGCUAGUUAGAGGAACCUGCUUUUUAAUGGAUGAUCCUCCGUAGAUUUUAUUUUUCUUUUAAAUACCGCCGUCGAUGACAGGUCAAGGUUUAGCUGAUAGAGGAAGUUGAAGGUGGAUUUAAAUGUUGAUGGAGAGAGUUUGAGCUCUGAAAGAUGU